rnacentral:hammerhead_ribozyme from 1 species
UCACUGCUGAAGAGUCCCAUAAUAGGACGAAAUGGCCCAUCCAGUGC